rnacentral:lncRNA from 1 species
GUUUCUUUUGGAACUUUCUCCUCUUGCUUUUUUUGGUUAAUUUGUCUUGGUGCUAUCUGAAUGUGUGAUUUUCUUUUUAGUCGUCAAACAUUUUAAAGAUAUUUGCACUAAUGGUAUCUGCAUUUUGCAUUUUAGGUCUUGGAAGCAAUGACCACAAAGUCAUGCAAGGAGAACUUUCAUUACGAGUCUCUGGAGACUCUAGGAGAUUCUUUUUUAAAAUAUGCUGUUAGUCAGCAGCUUUUUAAUAUGUAUGAAAAUCAUCACGAGGGUCUUCUUAGUGUGAAGAGGGAGAAGAUUAUUUGUAACGCUGCCCUCUGUAAGUUAGGUUGCAGUUCUAAACUUCCGGUAUUCUUUCUCUCCCUCUCUUUUUUAAUAGAUUAGUCUUUAAUCUUGUAUGCUUACAUCUCUUAUGAUGCUAUCUUUCAACUGAUUUCUUAAUUAGUUUAUAUUGUGUUUUAGAAGUUUGCAGAAGAUUAUAGUUAUUAUAAUUCUGAUCCUAUAAUAUGCUUCUAAUUUGGCUGAUUAUUAUGCGGGUAUCGUUUUUUUUUUUAUUUUAGUUUUUUGCUUUCUCGAAACACUGAAGAUCAAAACGAAAAGUGUACAAUAUUCACUAUUUACCGUAAUAAGUAUAAUGUUCUCAAUUCUUCAAAAAAACAAAGUAUUAUGCUCUCAAAACUGUAAUGCUUAUAAAUAUUGAUUAUGUUGUAUUGUUUGGCUUUUCAUUUUGCGUUAUUAUUUUGAAACUGUAAUUGCAGAUAAUAUAUUAAUUUUGUUGUUGAUUAUCUAUUCUUCUGAGUUGCAGGGCUUCAUACGGAAUGAGCCUUUUGAUCCAAAGACCUGGAUCAUUCCUGGAGUUAAAUCAAGAUGUUUUAAAUUAGAAGAGACAGUUUUCAAGGGGACAAAAAUAUAUACUCGAGGGAAUAGAAAAUUGAAACGGAAAGUUGUUGCUGAUGUUGUUGAAGCACUAAUUGGGGCAUUCCUUAGCGCUGGUGGUGAGAUGGCUGCAUUGUUGUUUAUGGAUUGGGUUGGCAUCAAAGUGAAUUUGAAUAUUACACCCUAUGAGAGGCAAAUCAAUUCUUGUCCAGACAAUCUUCUUAAUGUCAGCUAUCUAGAAUCCCUCUUGAAGUACUCGUUUAGGGACCGUUCCCUGUUAGUAGAAGCUAUGACACACGGUUCUUACAUGCUGCCUGACGUGCCUAGAUGCUAUCAGGUACUUACUGUUGGUAUUAUUCUUGUUACAUGUGUUUUGCUUUUGCCUAAUUUUUCAAAUAAUAUAUUCCUUUCCCUGCAGAGACUUGAAUACUUAGGAGACUCGGUGUUGGAUUAUCUCAUUACUACACAUUUGUAUAAUGAAUAUCCUGGCAUGACACCUGGGCAGUUAACUGAUAUGCGGUCAGCUUCUGUGAAUAACGAAUGUUAAGCAAUGUCUGCCAUAAAGGUUCAACUGCAUAAACAUGUACUCCAUGCCUCUCAGGAGUUACAUAAACAUAUUGCAGCUACCCUUGAUAAAUUUGACGAACAGUCUGCAUCACAAACUUUUGGAUGGGAGUCUGAGGCUUCAUUCCCCAAGGUUAGUUUGUCGAAAUCUUGGAAUAACGCUAUUACUGUCAUAGUAGUGUUUGAGUAGAGAAAACUCUAAUAUUGUUAGUGCAUUUUUUCAUGUUGUGAAUCUGAUGAUCUAAAAUUGUUCCUAUUGUUUGCAGGUACUUGGAGACAUCAUAGAGUCUCUAGCUGGUGCUAUACUUGUUGAUUCAGGAUACAACAAGGAGGUUGUGUGGCAAAGCAUAAGGCCUCUUUUGGAACCCCUUGUGACACCUGAUACAUUAACGAUCCAUCCGAUCAGAGAAUUAACAGAACUGUGCCAGAAAAUGGAUUAUACUAUGGAGAAGGACUUGUCCAGGAACGACGGCUUUAUUAGCUGUAGAAUUGAGGUAAAUGCAGAUGGUGUAAUUCAUCAAUACGAGUACAAAGGUUCUACCGACAAGAAAACAGCUACAAGACUAGCCUGCAAGGGAGUUUUGAAUUCCUUGCAGUUGAAGGAAACACUAGACCAGUGAUAUACUUGACUUGUGGAAUUGUAAAAACACAGGGCUGUAAUUUUUUAGCUGUGGUAUUAGGCUUUCUCCUUUCUAUGUGCAUCUUCUCUUUUUGUGCUGACAUUGUGAUUGUGAAUACAUGUUGAAUCAAUUUUAAUUUGGACUUGCAGAAAUUAUAAUGAGUUUGAGAUUCAGUUGUUUGAUAAGAAAAUAAAUUUUUCAAUUCAGUAUAUUACCAUAGAUUCAUGAACUAGAUCCAUAAUAUUAUAUUAACGCAACAUGGGUGUGGUGAAGGUGGGGAGGCGUGGAAGUAGAGGAGGAGGUUGUUUGCUUGGAAGGAGGACCUUUUUAGGUGUUGUUGUUUUUUGCUUCAUAAUGUUGUUUUGCAGGAAAGUGUAGUUGACCGUUGGAAGUGGUCUCUUGAUCCAGUUAAAGGCUACUCUAUCGGCGAUGCAUAUCAGAUGUUCACAGCAACAGACCAAAAUCCUAACAGGGCUAACAUGUAUACCAUAUGUCAUAAACAACUUCCUCUCAAGGUCUCUUUAUUUGUGUGGUGUCUCUUUCACAAUUGUCUCCCAACAAAAGAUAAUCUCUUAAGGCGAGGCAUUGUUCACCCAGAUGCUACCAAUUGUGUAGGAGGAUUUGCUCUUCCGGAGACUGCGGAUCACCUAUUCAUCACUUGCAGUCAUUUCAGCCAGUUAUGGGUGCUUGUUCGAAGUUGGCUCGGUUUCUCUUCGGUUGAUACUUUCCGUGCUUUCGAUCAUGUUGUGCAGUUCGGCCAGCUUGGUGGGUUUCCUCGUUCCUCUCACCAUUUUUUGAAACUUAUUUGGUUCUCUUGUGUCUGGACAAUUUGGAAGGAAAGAAACAAUUGAGUCUUCAACAGCCAAGCUUUGGUGUUACAUCAGUUGCUCUACAAAGUUAAAUUAUUGUCUUUUUUGUGGCUUAAGGCAAAAAAUGCCACACUUUUGUUACUCUUAUUAUUGUCUACUUGUUGAUGAUUAAAAUAAAGGAUUAGAGUUACUUAUUGUUUUUGGUACUUGUAGUAAGAGUAAAGGACCGUUGUGGUUCUGGAUGAGGUGAUAAAUAUAAUCAACGGAUAUAAGUGAGGUAAUUAUCUACAAUUCGAAGUGGUGUAUCCGUAAGCAAUGAAUUAAGCUUAGACGGGUAAUGAGUUCUACCAAAGAACAAAUUAUUUAGGAGAACAUGGAUUCGUUUCAUGGAUGGCACAAUUCUUAACAUACUAUAUUUACCUUACGGCCGAACUCUGGAUUACAAGGCUCAUUUCCCUUAAAAGAUGGAUGGUUAACACCUAAAAAAAGUUGUUAGACUAAAUAGAUUUAGCUCGACCAAAAAGUUCAAUUUUAAGAUCUGAAGACUAUUUUCGCGAGUGUGAUAAAAUUGAGAGACAAUGCAAUUCCGUAUUCAAUUAGGAUUUUAAAGAAUUUUAAAAGGCUUUUUAUAAGUCCUUGAAAAUAAACUUGUUUUGAGAUAUUCAAUUAAGACUCUUUGUAACUUAAUAAAAUUUUCAAUUUAGUACAUGUAUUCAAGAGUUUUUGGUGCAGUAUGUUCUUGAUGAACUAAAGAGGAGAGUGUAAUUUGAGUAGACGAUAAAAAAUUAUUAUGGGUAAGAUCCUCUUUACUCUAUAACGAGAUCGAAUACAAUGUGUUGAAGAAUACAAUAUCAAAGAUUUCAUAGGAAAGAUUCCAGAAUGUUACCAUACGAAAUUAUAUGUGGAACAUAUCUAUUAUAAAUUAAUGGUUUUAACCUUAUAAUAAACAGAUCCAGAAUAUAUUAUCAACUCAACAUAUGCAUUCAAAAGUUUGAUCAAAACAAGGAAAAUAGUAGCUUUUAUGCAUUCAACAGUGUGAUCAAAACAAGGAACAUAAUAGCUUUUAAUUUGCGAAAAUAUGGCUACUAUAUAUCUAAUAUCUAACUAAUUAGAUUUCCACGACAAUUCUAAGAUGCAAAGUGAACCGACGAGCAUCGGAAGGUCCAACUCCAAUAGCAAGAUCAGAACCAAAUAAUCUCUCAUCGAAAUUGAACAAUUCAUGAACUUCUGACACGAGCUUCAGUGCUAGUUGCUCGAGUGAAUCAGAGGGAAAGUCUUGGUGGAACAAGAUAGACCGAAACCAAUCUUUACCCUCUCGAAAGAACCUUUUGCUGCUAACUUCUUGAUAAUUGUUGAGUAAGGUGUUAAGACAUGUAACUGAGUUAGAAUCAACUGAAUGCGAGAGAACAUCGAUAUGAAAAUUUAACCAAUCGGUGGGCAUGAGCUUGGGGCGCUGCACCUCUAGAUUGUAAUUCAUGCUUCGAAGAUAUUCAUAUUGCUCUUGAUAUUGUGCAGAUAAUCCAUAAUAGCAACUUGCUGGUUCUAAACAUUGUGAAUAAAAAAUAAGACUGUAAGUCAUGUGUAUAUGUAUGAUGAAUUAAUAUACUAACUUUCUUAAAAUUCUAUUUCUUAUAUUCAUACCUGAUUGUGUAGAGAAGGAGGAAGACAUGAUCGUUUCUUUUUCUUCUGAACGCUGAAACUUCUUUAUCUCGUUGAAUUUUUUUUUGUGUGCACUUUUUCUUAUGGUUGCAAGCCAAUUUAUAGAUAAUGAGGUUAGGGUUUCUUUUUAAGGUUGCUUUAUGGACAAGAAAGUAAUUUGUUGAGAUUUUUUCGGCUACAAUAAUUAUUUAGAUUUGGAUUUAAUACAUCUUUCGUAUGAUCAAUCCUAAAAAAAACCAUUCAAAGAUCCAACCGUCCAAGUCAUCAACCCACACCUAAACCAAAUCACCCAAUCAAAUCACAGAAACUAAAUCAUAUAUAUAUAUAUAUAUGUCUAUUUUUUUUUCCUUUUAUCAUUUAAAAAAUGUAACAAACUAAAUGAGUAUAUAUUUAUACUUACUUUUUCAUUAUCCCAAUUAUACUUUUAAACAACUUUUUCUAUAAUAAAGAUCGUUGUUGGUGUCAUUAUCCCAAUUAUAUAUAUUUUUUUAUAUUGUUGGUGUCAAUAAAAUAAACAAUUAUGAUUAGUUUGGUUUAUUAUAACUUGAAAGCAGCAAACAUUUAUAUUUUUAAUUUUAAUCCAAAUCAAAAUUUCAUAAAAAAAAAAAAAAAAAAAAAACAUCGUUAAUAAUUUUCAAAGGUAAGUGAAAUAAAAAGAGCGGAAAGUCGGACACGUGAGUGCCUGUCCACUAAUAUAUAUAUAUAUAUAUAAACAAAACACAGCUGAGACAAAAAUCUCAUUCUUCAUCACUUCCAAUCCUUCAAAAAUGGCAAAAGCCGUAGAGAAAAAAGUAGCUGAGAAGAGACCAACGAAGAAGAAGGACACAGAGAAGAAAAUCCCAAAGGAAGGAGAAACAUGGAAAAAGAGAUCAAAGAAAAGCAUUGAAACCUACAAGAUAUAUAUAUUCAAGGUUCUCAAACAAGUUCAUCCUGCCAUUGGUGUUUCAAGUAAAGCUAUGGGAGUUAUUAACAGUUUCGUGAACGAUAUCUUUAAGAAACUCGCUCAAGAACUGUUGAGACUCGUGCGUUAUUAUAUAGAUACGAAUUUUAACAUAUAAGAUGUCAGGGAUGGCCUCAAGUUAUAGAGAAUGUGGGCAUUGGCCGUCACUAUCUUUUGGAGAAAAAAUUGAAUAGCAUUUGUAUUAUUUUUAACUCAAAUAAUGAUCUUUGUAAUAUAUAUAUAUAUAUAUAUAUAUAUAUAUAUAUAUAUAUAUGUGUGUGUGUAAUACUAAUAAUAUAGGUAUUUUGAUUAAUAUUAUAUAUGGUCAUGUAAACAAGUGCUCUAAGGGUGUUAUUUAAGGAUUUCAUAAAAAUAAAUUUUGUUUUGAAAAUACUUAGUAAUAUUUAAAAAAAAAUAUAUGCAAAAGUUACCACUUUUGAUUGUUUAAAAAAUUUCUUAAAGGUGUUUGUUAGUAUUUUCUUAUUUUAUGUACAUAACAAUCUUUUCUAUAACAUUAGUGGAGACAAGAAAAUAUGUUGUUCACUCAUUGAUAUAUUUCCUUUUAGAGUUUUCUGUGUGUGUAUGUGUGACAACUAUAAUUGUUGAAAGAGUUUUCUCCACAAUGAAUAUUAUUAAAAACUGAACGCGGAAUCACAAGAGAAUAAUUAUGAAGUAUAUUUUUUUGGAAAGAAUUAUGAUGUAUAUUUAUAUUUUCAAAAUUAAAGUAGUGUGUGUGUUUGCGCACGCGUGUGGGUGGAUGGGUGUGUGCGUACGUGCGUGUGUGUGUGUGUUGCCCUCACUACUCAAGACUUUUGGGUUCGUCCCUGAGUUAAGUAUGCCUCCCUUUUCAACCUACACAUUCAUUUGGAGCUUAACAUAUGUACUCCAAUGUAGAUUCCCUCGCCCCACAUUUUGUGACAAUUAUACAUUUCAAAGCAUCAAUCCCUUGUUGUAAUCCUAACCAAGUCAAUAUAACUCGAUUUAAAAAUAAAACAAGGCAAAAUUGUAGCCAUUUCACGUGUAGAAACUCUUCCAUAAGCACAAGCAUUCAGAGAAGCAUCCAACAAAAAGGGAACGACUUCCAGGAUAUCAAAGGCAGACACUUUUAGUUUCACUAAAGCAUUAUCCAAUCAAGACCCGAAACUAGAAGAGAUGAUGCUUCCUAAGGUCAUAGGUGUCAAAGGCUCAGAAGCAACAUUUACCUUCCUAAACAUCAUCCUUAGUAAAGCAUCAACAAUCUGUUGAACAGGCCCUCCAGGCAUAAGACCAGAGUGGGUCGAAGCAAUGCGUUCUUGAUGUUGUCAAUGCCAAAAGUUUAGUUUUGGAAAGGAAUCCAUAUAUACAUAUUCUUUAGGAAAGCAUAAUAUUUUUGACAAUUUUUUGAGCUUUAGACUAUCCUUUGCUGAUCUUCCAAAUGAUGCAACUCUACCGUUUCGAACCAAUAAAAGGUUUUCAGGACUAAAUAGAUUUCCAAGUGGUGGAGUUGCUGGAUUUCCCCUUACUUAUUCAAUGGGUAAGUGAUCAAACCGUCAGAAUCUAAGCAAAAGAGUAAAUGCAUUAGAGAACACCUCAUGUGGAGAGAGUUUUCCUCUGGUUGCGACAGUCCAUGAGACAUCAGAAACGCAUGAGCAAAAAAUCUCUUAUAUUUGCAUUAGCCCUACCGCAAGUAAUGGAACUUGAAAUGAAAAACAACAACAUGUAUCAGCAUCAGAAACACAAGUAGGGACGGCCCCAAGUUAUAGAGAUUGUGGCCAUUGGCCGUCACUAUUUUUUGGAGAAAAAAUUGAAUUGUAUUAUUUUUAACUCAAAUAAUGAUCUUUGUAAUAUAUAUAUAUAUAUAUAUAUAUAUAUAUAUAUAUAUAUAUAUAUAUANNNNNNNNNNNNNNNNNNNNNNNNNNNNNNNNNNNNNNNNNNNNNNNNNNNNNNNNNNNNNNNNNNNNNNNNNNNNNNNNNNNNNNNNNNNNNNNNNNNNNNNNNNNNNNNNNNNNNNNNNNNNNNNNNNNNNNNNNNNNNNNNNNNNNNNNNNNNNNNNNNNNNNNNNNNNNNNNNNNNNNNNNNNNNNNNNNNNNNNNNNNNNNNNNNNNNNNNNNNNNNNNNNNNNNNNNNNNNNNNNNNNNNNNNNNNNNNNNNNNNNNNNNNNNNNNNNNNNNNNNNNNNNNNNNNNNNNNNNNNNNNNNNNNNNNNNNNNNNNNNNNNNNNNNNNNNNNNNNNNNNNNNNNNNNNNNNNNNNNNNNNNNNNNNNNNNNNNNNNNNNNNNNNNNNNNNNNNNNNNNNNNNNNNNNNNNNNNNNNNNNNNNNNNNNNNNNNNNNNNNNNNNNNNNNNNNNNNNGUGUGUGUGUUGCCCUCACUACUCAAGACUUUUGGGUUCGUCCCUGAGUUAAGUAUGCCUCCCUUUUCAACCUACACAUUCAUUUGGAGCUUAACAUAUGUACUCCAAUGUAGAUUCCCUCGCCCCACAUUUUGUGACAAUUAUACAUUUCAAAGCAUCAAUCCCUUGUUGUAAUCCUAACCAAGUCAAUAUAACUCGAUUUAAAAAUAAAACAAGGCAAAAUUGUAGCCAUUUCACGUGUAGAAACUCUUCCAUAAGCACAAGCAUUCAGAGAAGCAUCCAACAUAAAGGGAACGCCUUCCAGGAUAUCUAAGGCAGACACUUUUAGUUUCACUAAAGCAUUAUCCAAUCUAGACCCGGAACUAGAAGAGAUGAUGCUUCCUAAGGUCAUAGGUGUCAAAGGCUCAGAAGCAACAUUUACCUUCCUAAACAUCAUCCUUAGUAAAGCAUCAACAAUCUGUUGAACAGGCCCUCCAGGCAUAAGACCAGAGUGGGUCGAAGCAAUGCGUUCUUGAUGUUGUCAAUGCCAAAAGUUUAGUUUUGGAAAGGAAUCCAUAUAUACAUAUUCUUUAGGAAAGCAUAAUAUUUUUGACAAUUUUUUGAGCUUUAGACUAUCCUUUGCUGAUCUUCCAAAUGAUGCAACUCUACCGUUUCGAACCAAUAAAAGGUUUUCAGGACUAAAUAGAUUUCCAAGUGGUGGAGUUGCUGGAUUUCCCCUUACUUAUUCAAUGGGUAAGUGAUCAAACCGUCAGAAUCUAAGCAAAAGAGUAAAUGCAUUAGAGAACACCUCAUGUGGAGAGAGUUUUCCUCUGGUUGCGACAGUCCAUGAGACAUCAGAAACGCAUGAGCAAAAAAUCUCUUAUAUUUGCAUUAGCCCUACCGCAAGUAAUGGAACUUGAAAUGAAAAACAACAACAUGUAUCAGCAUCAGAAACACAAGUAGGGACGGCCCCAAGUUAUAGAGAUUGUGGCCAUUGGCCGUCACUAUUUUUUGGAGAAAAAAUUGAAUUGUAUUAUUUUUAACUCAAAUAAUGAUCUUUGUAAUAUAUAUAUAUAUAUAUAUAUAUAUAUAUAUAUAUAUAUAUAUAUAUAUACACUAUUAAUAAUGUAGAUAUUUUUGUCAAUAUUAUAUAUGGUCAUGUAAACAAGUGUUUUAAGGGUGUUAUUUAAGGAUUUCAUAAAAAUAAAUUUUGUUUUGAAAAUACUUAGUAAUAUUACAAAAAAAUUUAGUUUCCACUGUUGAUUGCUUAAAAAAUGUCCUAAAGACGCUUGUUAGCAUUUUCUUAUUUUAUAUACAUAACAAUAUUUCUAUAACGUUAGUGGAGACAAGGAAAUAUGUUGUUCACUCAUUGAUAUAUUUCCUUUUAGAGUUCUUAAUAUAUAUAUAUAUAUAUAUGUGUGUGUGUGUGUGACAACUAUAAUUGUUGAAAGAGUUUUCUCCACAAUGAAUAUUAUUAAGAACUGAAUGCAGAAUGCCAAGAGAACAAUUAUGAAAUAUUUUUUUUUUUGGAAAGAAUUAUGAUGUAAAUUUAUGUUUUCAAAAUUAAAGUAGUGGGUGGGUGGGCGGAUGGGUGCAUACGUGCGUGCGUGUGUUGCCUUCACUGCUCAGGACUUUUGGAUCCGUCCCUGUAAGAUGUUGUUCCAUUUGUCUCAACGAACAUUUUCAAAAUAUCAAAUGUUGCUAAGCAUGCUUUUCAUUUGGAUUUAUUAUAAAAAAUUAAAAAUAUUAAUAAUUAAAAUUGUGUAUUGACGUUGACUUUGACAUGUAUUUAAGAAUGGAUAGAGUAACAUUUUGUUUUUGCAAAUUAAAUCAUUUGAUGAAAUUCUUAAAAAGAGUUGGUGUCAAAGCUUAUUCAAUUUUAUAUGAAGGAAAGACUCACGCAGAUGAUGCAAGUAAUUGACCAUUCUGCUUUUCCUUUUGACUGCAGAGAUUCAGAAAUAGUUUUUGAGUAUAUGCUUCUUUUUAACAUUCAUUGACCACCCUUGUCAAUUUUAUCUUACACCUUUGAAGUUUACACUAUUACAUGUUGUUAAUGGAAGCUCAUGAUAAAUGAUGGAUCUAAAAAUUUGAAUUAGUGGGGGCACAAUAACAUAAAAAAUUAUUAUUAUUAAUGCAUAAAUUAAACAACAAUUUGAAGAUUAUAAAUUUAUAGUAUAAUAUACCCAAAAAUUGAAGAUACCUCAACAUCUACAAAAAUAUAUUUCAUUUUAACACUAUAAAAAAUAUAUUUCUCUAUGCAUGUGAUCAAAUAAAUAUUAGUGUGGGGGCAUCCCUUAAUUCCAUUGGGUGCAUCACUUAAUUUUUAAUAGAAAACAUAUAAAAUAUUUUAAAAAGUAAUACUCAAAUAAAAAUUUGGUGUGGUGCCAAUUGCCCGCAAUACCUCUAACGUGGAUCUUUGUGCUUGCUUAUGAUAUCAUCUUUUCAAUGUGAAGUUAGGUGAACAUGACAUGUUACUUAAUGUUAAAGGCAUGAUCGAUUUUGAAAAAAGUUCAUCUUUGAAAACACCAUAAAUAGAUUUUUGGCAUUUUUCAAAUUUCUAAAAAUACGCACAUGUAAUCCAAAAAUGCAUUUUAUAAAAUAUCAUAAAAUAUAUUAUUUAAUUUUUGUUGAGUGGAAAAUGUAUUAUUAAUUAAUGUUUAUUAUUUUAAUUGCAAUGAAAAUGAAACAGGAAUACAUGAUCCAUUGAGGGAUGGAAAAGAUGAUAUGUUUGAUGAAGGCAAGUGAGAAGGAAAGGCAACAACGUUACGGGGCAAAAUAAGGAAAAAGUGAGUGACGUCACUUGUAGCAAUAGGAACGAUUCCUCUAAAAAAAUUAAAGUUAGACACACGACUGCAACGUGAAACAAUGUGGACAACCAAACAUCACCAACAUGAGUUUGAUGACUUUAAACCCAAGCUAGAGGGAUCCACCGCAAAACCAAACACAUGCUUAUAAUAUAUGUUGCACUUAUUAAUAUUUUUGUUUUACCCUAUAUACUAUACUACGAUCUCAAGACUCUGUUCAUUUGUUUGUUUGAUUAGGACUUAGGAGAGAAGCAUGGAAGCAUCAAAAGCAAGAUUAAUCAUCUACCUCUUAUUAUUGAGAUUAGAGAUGACAUCGAGUAUUCUUAAGUAGGAAUAAGAUAUUAUAGUAUUCAUCUUCAUACUCACGUUUAUAAAAUAAGUUUGUAUCUAAGUUUAUAUUUUCGUGGACAAUAAAUUUGAUAUUCGUCUCCGUACUACUUUUUGGGCACCUAAAUCUUUGUAUCUAUGUUCAUUACCCGCACUUUCACAACAAAAACACAAUAAAUAACAAAAAAAAAAAAAAACAAUCAUAACAUAACUAAAUAUGAUUUAAAACUUUCAAUUUAUACUCCCUCUAGUCCUUAUUAUAAGAAAAAACUGACUUUUUAGGUUCAUAGAAUAAUUAAUGUAUCUUAUUAUAAAUAUAGACUAGAUACAUCACUUAUACAAUGAACCAAAAAAGUUAAUUGUUUCUUAUAAUAAGGACCGGAGGAAGUAAAAUAUUACAAAAUAAUUGAUGAGGCCUUAAAAACACUGCUCAAUCGAGAUUGCCAACAAAGUUUGUGAUUCCGUGCGUGCAUGUGUGUGUCACUCUCAGCAAAACAUGGAACUCUUUCAUUCAUGAUCCCAACCAAAACAACUCUACUGACAACUAUUAACAACCUCUAUUUUUUUUUUUUGGUCCUAAUAACUUCAGUGUGAAGGAAGUAGUACGUGGCGACCUAAUGUAUUCUUAACACAUGUACCGAUACAUUAAGACCAUGAUGCUGCAAUUUCAAUUCCACACACGUCCUCUCCAUGCCCCACACUCCAACUGAUGCGGCAAUUUUUCCAUUUGUGUGUUUGGAUGAAAAGUUUAGGAGGAAAAGAGACGAGAGAGUUUACUUUUCAUUUAUAACAUACUGAUACUAGGAAAUAUUUUUAAAAAAGUUAACAUAUUAACAUGAUAAACGAUCAUAUGAUACUUCAAUCACACUUAAGUCAUUUAAAAAAAAAAACAUGUUAAAUAGUCCGUAAUUUAAUAAAGAAAAACAAAUAUUUUCAUCUCUUCUUCUCCUAAACUCUCGAUCCAAACAAACCCUCAAAAUAAGCAAAAUUGAUACCUCAAUUAUCCACGAUGUCCAAAGUGUGAAUUCUUCCAUACAAAUAUACAUGUCAACUCGAAACUUAUUACCCUCUCCCAUGAUAAUAUUAUAUAUUUUAAUCCACACUUUUCAUAUUCUUUUAAUUUAUAGUUUUUCAUUUCUUCUUCAAUAAGAAUUGUUUAUUGGGGAUUAGAUAGCUAAACUGAAAGAUUUAGAGCUGUCAGCUUUUAAAGGACUACAAAAAUCAUCAGUGAAUUCGUGAAAAGAUCAUAUUACCAUUUAUAGAUGUAUUAUUAUGCGAAACUUUAAGCAAAAUAUGCACACAAGAGAUCAUGUUGUUUAGGAUAGUUUAGAAUAGUUUCUUUUGAAAAGCAUUUUUUGUGAUUAUAGUUUUUUAAAACAAGUGAUUUUUAUUUUUUUUUCAAAGUGUUAAUUGUCCUAUUAUACGCUCACAAAAUUAACUUAUGAUUUUUUUAAACAACACUGCUAUAUAGUGCGAAUUUUUUCUCUUGAAAAAUCAAGAAUGAGCAUGUAUUUAUAUUGGUUUAAAGUCCGGCAUUUACGGAAUACAGGAUGUUGUGGUGUUAAUUUUUUUUUUUGUUGCUACUAGCCAAUUUAAUCGUGAGUUAAGCACUUCCCUUUUCUGAAACCUCUAAGAAAUUAACCUCUAAAUUAUUGUUAAAAUUGUGUUUUUUGUUUUCAAUCCGUAACAAACCCCCCUCUCUCUAUCUCCCUCUCUCUCUAAAUAUUAUGCCCAUAUGAGUUUUCUUUAACUAACGUAACUUGAGCGACGUUUAACUUUCCACUUAAGAUUAUUAUCUAAUUCGCUCGCACGCAAACAAGGAAGGUUAGCGGGUCUAAGAUGCAACAAUAACUUCCAUUCAGAUCUAAUCAAGAGAUAAAUCCCACAAAAGGCCAAAAUGUAGUCACUUAUUUAUUAGAGUUUGUUUGGUAAAACACAUAUUUGAGCGUAUGAUUAAAAAAACUUGUUUGAUAAUAGAUUGUUCUCACAAGUUUAUAACUUUUUUUCAUAAGCUAAUUUAUUUCAAGUAGUUUAUAACUCAUCACAUUUUAUCUCGAUUUUACCCAUACAAUCUUAAUUGAAAAAUAUAAAUAUUUAUUUAAUAUAUUUUUUUAUAUCAUUUCAUAUUUAUUAACUACUUUCCUUAAAAAAAAAAUAUAUUUAUUAACUAUUUCAAUCUUUAAUUUAAUCAAACACUUUAAAUUCAAUCUUAGCAUAUGUUUGAUUUUGCGGUGUAUAAAUUUGAUUUUGAUAUAAUUGAUUAUAGAAAUUGAUUUUGGUUAAAAAUGAUUUUGACUAAAUGUAAUGUGCGUUGGAUAAUUCAUUAAAAGUGAAUUAAACUUAAAAUUUGUAAAUAAAAAUUAGUUCAUAAGCUGAAAACACUGAUCAGAAGCAAAUAGAGUUCUGCUUCUGAAGUGAUUUCCAUAACUAAAUAGCAGCAAAUAAAACCGAGAGAGAGAAAGAAGAAGGAGACAAAGCAAUUAUAUAGGUUCCUUCCACAAACCGGAAGUCAGUCAUGUCCCCCUUGCACUUCCAAGGAGAGUUCACUAAAAUGUAAUAUCUGAUUACAACUACUCACUACUAAACUUAGCAAGAGACUUCAAAUGCUCAAGCACAACUACAAGAGACUUCCUAUGCUCCUUAACACAAUCAAGAGACUUCUAAUGCUCAAGCACAACUGCAAGAGACUUCCAAAUUCAAACAAAAUUACAAAGAAAAAUGUUUGAGGUUGAACACUUGAUAUACAAUCAGUGGUGUUCACAAUACAAAUCAGAUACAUACUCUUAAAACUAUAGAACUUCUAAGAUAUGAACUUUGAUAAGAAAUUAUAGGUGAACUUUUGAUGCAGAACAAUUUUGACAGAGUUUAGGCGCUUUCAAAUUGUUGUUGAGUCAUGCCAUUCUCUGAGUCUUCACUCCUUUAGAUAGAGGUGUAGAAAAGAGACGUUGUCACAUUGCCAGCACAUCAAAAUAGAGUCGUUUGAAGCUUUGAUCAAUCACCAAUGAUAUUUUGCCUGAUAUGGUUAUUGUCCUAUGAAGGAUCAAUUUCAAAUCCAUUCCAUGUAUGAAGGAACAUUGUUGCAGGCAUAGUUGUUAUCCUUGUCCUGUAGCAGAGACACAAACUGAGUAGUGGAGAUAAUGGUUGUACACUUCGUACAAUUGUACUUUGUCAAAGCUCUUCAAAGAACAAGCAUACAAUGCUUUCAAAUCCUUUCAAAAUAGUGGUUGCUUCACUCUUUCAGUCUUCUGCAAUGCUUAGACGAGAUUAAAUUCAUUAAACAGUCUUUGGAGCUUUAAGUCUUGCAUCUCCUAAUGAACUACAACUUAUGGUGAUCUUCAGCUUAUGAUGAGAUGCUUCUGAUGAACUUGCUUCUGAUGACGUCAUCACUUCAGGAGCACUUUUUGUCUUCAAGAGCACUUCUCUUCAGAUGCUUUAAGCUUCCUUUUUGUUGAUUCCUCUGCUCUCUUUUGUUCUUCUAGGACCUAAUAUUGAUUCCAAUUUUUUGUCUAUGGUCCUGUACACUUGAACAAAUAUUAGCAUAUCCAAUUGACAAUUUUUAAUACCUUGUUAUCAUCAAAACUCUCAAAGGAUAAUGUUAAACACAUUUUGUUCCAACAAAGCACUCUCACAUCACCAUUGUACAUAGAGCUUGAAGAUGAAGACUGACUGUUGUAGCUGUUUUUCCCAUACGUCCACCACCAUCAUUUCUGAACACGAAAGCUUGAAUAAUAACUAAUGAUUUUUGGAUUUUGAAUUGAAUCAAAAAAAUUAGGGUUUUAAGUUUUUUAAAUUGGAGAAGAACUUUGUCAUCAAUUCAUGGAAGAAAUCUUGCGGAUUUUGAACUCUAGGUGACAAAUUAUAACAUUAGGGUUCCAAAUUUAUAUAUUUGGGGAAGAAAGAACCGUUUAUGAGAAGAGACGUUGGUGAAAAAGAUACGUUGAGAAUUUUGCGAUUUUCUGUAAAUCAAUCAAUUUGGUCCUUGAUAAUUUUAUCAUUUUCGGCCAAAUAAGUUCCUGCUUGCGUGGCAUAUGACGUGGUAAACCUUGUAAGCGGUUAAUAGUACACAUCACCUCCGUUAACAGGCUAACUUAACAGAGGAACUGAUUUGAUUGAUAUUUUAAAAAUUUAAGAACUAAAUAGAUAUUUUGCAAAAAUUAAAGAUGAAUUUAGCUUAUUUUUGAAAAUUUAAGGACGAAAUUGGGGCAGUAGUACUUGAAUCGGUUUUACUUUACAACAACAAAAAUCGCAGAAUCAAUGAGGAGCUUGGAAUCAAUUAUGAUCCACACAGCACACACCUCGUCAUUUGAUAACUUCAAUCAAUACCCAACUGGCCCCACAUUCCCACCAAUGAAAACCUUUAUUAUAUAAUUUCAUCUUUGCCACUUUCUCUCUCCUCUGCAACUCAACAUCUUCUCUUCCGAAUCCGACAUCCUCGUAAAAAAAACACAAACUUGAGACCAACCCAUCUCAACAUUCGCUGUCAUACUGCCAAUUGUCACAAAAAUAAUAUACUCCUAUUACUAUAAGAAAGAAGAAGAAAAAAAAAAUGCCAUCUCAGAUCCUUCCCAUAACCAAUUUUCAACCACCAAAGAAGCCUCUUUUUUCUUCUUCUUCUUCUUCUUCUUCAGCUUCAACAAUGUUGCUUAAAGAUAUUGAUGACCCUUUAACUAGUCUUUUAAUCUCUUCUUCAUUCAAAGACAAUAACAACGCGAUCAUGUCCGUUAAACCUCUUCUAUCAAAGGCUUCAAGCUUCAACAACUCAAUUGGUAGUGGUGGUGGUGGUGGUGUUUCUUGUUUCUAUCAGAAAAGACGAAGGCGUGCUGCUAGUGAUGAUUCAUUAUCUUGUGUUUCUAAUGGAAGUUCUGAGAGAUCUUCUUUUGGUCGUGAUGUUAGACAUGUUGCUUCUGAAACUUUUCUUGUCACUCGUCUUGCAUUGAAGAUGUUGACAUAUCUUGGGUAUGAAACAUAUUCUGUUAUCUAUCUUUGUGAUCUCAAUUUGUUGUUAUGUCUUUCUUUAAACAAAAAUACUCGGUAUUUGAUCCGAUGACUGACUGAUCCGAGGGAUCAAUCACACCGUCCACCAACAGGGCCUCAGUUAAAGGCGACUAGUUCAUGAAAAUUGGCAUCUGGAGGAUUCAAACUUGAGACCUUGAGAGGAGCAUACUCCAAGGUCUCUCAAACAUGUACCACCAGGGUGCCUUUCUGUAUGUAUUAUAUAUCUAAUUGGAUCGACUUAUUUGAGUUUAUCAUUUGGCAUAAACACUUGUGAGACCAUUUGAAAGAACACAUAAAAACAAUUUAAGUUAUGACUUUUUCACAAGUUGGUUUCAACUUAUUUGUAUAAGCUCUCCACGAUAGCUAAUGAAAACAACAUAUUAGAUAGGCGCUUAAUUAAGUUGUUUAUCCACAUAGAGUCUAUAUGUCAAUAGAUUCAAACUUAUUCAUUUUGUAUAUGAGAGAAAACUUGAGCCUCAUGUUUAUGCAUUUUUUGAGUUGUGAGGAGAUUUUACUUUUCAGUUGAUAUGUUAUCUCUAAUGCUGACUGAUGGUGUGUUUGGAAGAUUUUGUUGUGUCAAUUUCUAUACUUAGGUGUUUUGGAUUGUACUAGUAAGAUUGUGGAAUUAUGAGAAAAUAAAUAUUUGAGCUACAUCUUUCUUUAUGUAGUAGAAAAGAAGAUCUAAGCUAUCAGCUAGUGUCUUUAACAUUUACGCAUCAUUGUGUAUCUGUUCCAUUCUUAGGGAAUAUAAUAUCGGUUACUGGUAGAAGACAAGUCGGACAUCGUGAAAACUAUUGAGUACAAUGUUAGGAUGUUUAAUCAUGCGCCUUGUGUUUAAGGGGUGUUUGGGUUAACAUCUUAAUUAAGUUCUUCAAUUAACACUUAUCACAUGAGAGCUUAUGGAUAAGUUGUUUCUUCAAAUUGCUCUCAAUAAAGAGGAACACCAGUUAAGACUCAUAUUGGUUGUGGAUUCUUGCAUUUUGAUGUUAUGUUAAAAAUUGUUGUGAUGUUUGUUUGUUUAUUUUCCACGAAUAUCAUCCCAUAUCCCAAUUAUGGAUGCUUUCUAAUCACUUAUUUCUAUUCAGGGUAGGCUAUAAAUGGAUUACGCAAUUCCUUGCUCUUGGAUGUUAUGCUCUACUGCUUUUACCAGGCUUUAUUCAAGGUUUGAAUUCAGUGAUCUAUGGGAUAACUAUCAUGUAUAGUAAUCAUAUGUUUACAAAUUGUGAUUUGAAAAGAUUAGCAUCUCACAUCAAUGGUCUGUUGGAGAAAUAAGUAUUUUCCUUCUGUUUUGUAGUUGGAUAUCAAUAUUUCUUCUCUAGUCAGAUACACAGAAGUAUAGUUUAUGGAGAUAAACCACGAAAUAGGUAUGCUUUAUUUAUAUUUUAACUCUGCAUUCAUAGUAAUAAGUACUGUAAUUUUGAUUAAUAGUAUAUUUCCUUUGCAGGCUUGACUUGUUUUUGCCUAAAAAUAGCGACGGGCCAAAACCAGUUGUUGCUUUCAUUACUGGUGGAGCCUGGAUUAUUGGGUAUGUGAUGUCCAUAUUUUUUUCCUUGUCGAAUUUGAUAUUUACCAUACGCUACUAGUUUCAUUUUUGAACGGAUUCAUGUGUUUGUGUGUCUAGAGACAUACGCACACACAUUCACUUUCUCCACAUGUAAAGUCACUUCAGUCCUUACAAGUUUUGAAGUAUUUGUAUUUGUGCAGUUACAAAGCAUGGGGUUCUCUUUUAGGUCAACAGCUUUCGGAGAGAGAUAUCAUUGUAGCAUGCAUAGAUUACAGGUGAUCUUUUAAUUUGUUUUCCCAUUUUUGCAGUAGUAGUUUGCUCUGGCUAAUAGAUUCAAUUUAAUAGUAUUAAAGUUGAUAUGGACACAAAUGCUUACUAUUCUUCUGUUCACGAGCUCUAUUUUAACCGCAUUAUCAUUGUGCUAUCUCUUCUCUGUUGUUUUUAUUUCUGCUUUAGUCCCGAUCCACCUGUUUUUAGGUUGCACAGAAAAAGGAGAACUCGUUGAUAGCUCUUUUUGUUUCAAAAAUUUCUGUUUAGAAAUAUCAAAUAUGGUUAUAUGAUUAGGAUAGUCUUAGGGGUUAAUAUACUUUUGUUCAGGUAAUUUUCACAUGAUAUUGAUAUGCCAAGCUUUAGUACUUUUCUUAAACCUGAGCAUCAAAUAGUUGUGUAUUUGAGGGUCAUUUAUUACAAAGGAAAUAAUUGGUGUUUGCUCAGUGUGAUGAAAUCUCUACCCAUAUCUUUUGUAUAUAUGGUUCCGAUUUGCUGUAAUUUAACAACCCGACCAAUUGUGACCACUGACUACCAUAUUGUAGUUUGAGAGAUCAUCAGUCACAACUGCAUCGUGAUUGUGGCUUCAAUGGCUGCAGUUUGUGACAUCCCUAAAUUUAUGUAGAGAAAAAUAUAGGAAUAUACGGAGUUAAUUAAAGACAGGAACAAAUGACUCAAUUUGGGCUUAAUGCUUCUAAGCAAAAGUACGGAGAAGAAAAAGCGUAACUAUGAAGGACUAUAUUCAAGUGAAAGAAAUUAGGGAAAAAGAAGGGAGGACUAAGGUUCAAAGGAGAACUCCAGUACACUCCCCUUGAAAUUGAGGAUGAAUAAGACUUAUUUCCUUGAAAAGUGACAUCUGUGGAAAAAAGAAACAAUGAAUUAAUGAUUUGAAUGGUAGUUGUUAUUUAUUUCUCUUGUUGUCAAGAGCUUAACCUAGGAAACACAUUUGAUAUCUCACUGAGAUCAAGCUCAUUACAAUGUGGUGAACACGAGCAAAGGCUACAGAGAUUACAGGCACUGAAUAAUAGAAGAAAAGGAAGAUGUCAUAAGUUGAACACGAUUUUCAUUACCAAGACACGAGAGGGCAACCUUUAUUAAAAUAGGCAUUACUUUUAAGUUUUAACAGCUUCCCCUUAUCACGAACUCGGAAUGGACACUGGACUUGUAGAGCUCCUAUAAUUUUAAGUAGAUAACAAUUCUUUCUUUUGUCAAUGCAAUUUUGUUGAGAAGUACUAUCAGCACAUGUGAGUUCAUGUACAAUGUCAUAUUGCUUUAUAGUGAUAAAGAGAAGGUUUGGUUGACAUACUCCUAACCAUUCAGAAAAAUACGUUUAACAGAUUUGCUAAGUUAUGUCUGAACCGUAUGAUAGAAUUGAACAAGCAGCUAGUACACUUCUAACUUGUCUAUUAUCAAGGAAAACUAUGUUACUUGAGUACAAUUAUUCAAUGAAUCAAACAAAUCAUUUUGUGCAUAAAUAUUUGAAAUUGAUACAACAUCGCUGGUCUUACAGUUGUCCGAUAGAAUUUUCCCUUCAAAAGAGUGUACUCAAGUAACCACGCUUGUUAGAAUUUUCCCUCUCCAAAAUACUAGAGACAAAAACACGCUUGUUAGCAAAGUGAAAAGAGUGUGUUACUUGCAUAUAGCUUCUUCAUAUUACAGUCUCAUCAAACAUGUCUUUGUGUGCAGAAAUUUUCCUCAAGCAACCAUCAGUGAUAUGAUAGAUGAUGCUUCGCAGGGUAUCUCAUUUAUAUGCAACAACAUUGCAGAAUAUGGAGGUGACCCUAACAGGUAUAUAUAAUCAUCCUCUCAUUACAUGGUGCUCUUUUUUCCUUUUCUCUAAAGGUAAUGGAUUCUCUUGAUCAUCGGUGAUCACUUUAUCAUGUUUUUUCAUGUACGCAGAAUUUACCUAAUGGGGCAGUCAGCUGGGGCACAUAUUGCAGCGUGUACAAUGGUGGAACAGGCAAUCAAAGAGGCUGGUGAAGGAGAGAGUACUUCUUGGAGUCUUUCCCAGAUUAAGGCUUAUUUUGGUUUAUCUGGAGGGUAUGCAGCCUUAUCAUUUUUUUGUGUUAAAUGCAAAUUUUGACUGUGUUAUGUGACAAAGCAUUUGAUUUAGUGACACAUUGGGGGUCCUUAUACAGUAAAUGAAACCAACGAUAGUAUAUGCUCGUCGUUCUAUUUGGAUAAACGACUUAGUUAAGUGCUUAUAGCAUAAAUAUUUAUCAUAUAAAUGCUUAUGUACAAGUUAUUUCUAUAACAAAAGAUAAAAUAAAGUCAAAAUGUUGUCAUCUAAGUUAUAAGCUGUUUUCAAGUUAUCGUAUAGAGCUUAUGAAAUUAAGCUGAAAAUAACUUAAAUAAAUAAGCUCAAAUCAGAUGGACAUGCCAUAAGUUGUUUCUAUAAGUUCUCCCAAACAGUCUCAACUGUUUAUGCCAGCAGAGAAGCUCAAAUAAGUCAAUCCAAACAGGCUCUAAGUCCAUCUUUGCAUGCCUUAAGUCCAUCAUUGCAUGAUGGUCUUAAUCUUAAAUGUAUAAAAAAGAUAUGGAAUAACUACAGAUUCUUCCAGUUUUUGUUUAAUAAUGAUUAUUGAUUUCUCACUUAAAUUGAAGUAUUUACUUGUUUUUUUUUCUGCUUACCUCAAAUCAGGUAUAAUUUGUUUAACCUAGUAGACCACUUCCAUAGUAGAGGCCUUUAUCGUUCCCUCUUUUUAAGGUACACUCUAAAUCUAUCUUAAAGUGAGUUAAUGUUUAGUUAAUAUAUGAUUUUCUGCUUCUUUUGCUGUGUUAAACUUUAAAAUGACAGAUUCUAUCUAUUACAGCAUAAUGGAAGGGGAGGAAUCACUGCGGCGGUUUUCUCCUGAAGUAAUGGUUCAAGAUCCAAACUUUGGAAAUGCUGUUUCUCUACUACCUCCUAUAGUUCUUUUUCAUGGCACCGGAGAUUAUUCUAUUCCGUCAGAUCAAAGGUUCGAGCCUCUUUCAUGAGGUUUUCAAAUUAUGUACUGACAGUAGAAAAAAAUCAGUUUUUAUAGAUUGUUCAAUUAAUGUGUCAUGUUUUUAAAUUUUGAUGAAGCACAGACACCUCUGAGAUUACGUACGUCUCUGUGUCCAACACCUGUAACAUAUUUAACAACUUUGACAACUCAGACAAGUAUCUAAAAAAACUUUUUUUCUUUGCUACGAUACACCUUGGACUCCUUAGACAUAUCUCAGACACACCUAUAACUCUAAUUUAAUUAUAAUAAAUGUGUAAUACUGUCAAUGUUGGAUGUUGCAACUCAGACUAGAUGAGAUAGGAUUAGAAAUGAAAAUGUUAGAGAGUUGGGGUAGCACCUAUAGUAGAAAAGAUGGAGGAAAGUUGGCUUAGGUGGUUUGGGCAUAUAGAGAAAAGACCAUUGGAUUCUGUAGUAAGGAGAGUAGAUUAGAUGGAGGAUAGUCAUAUCACUAGAGGUAGAGGAAGACCUAGAAAAACUAAAAGAGAAACUAAUAGGAAAGACUUGGAGAUAAAUGAGUCGGACCAAAAUUUUGUUUAUGAUAGAACAUUAUGGUGUAAUUUGAUCCAUGUAGCCGACUCCACUUAGUUUUUGAGUGUCGGUGUCCUAUGUUUUUGACAUUAGUAGUGUCAACGUGUCUGUUUGAUAUCAGGUGUGCGUGGCAAUAUGUUUUGCUGAGAUAUACAUAGGGAGUGUUAAUUGUUUUAAGCAAUGCAAAGCUUCAUGUUAUCGUUGAAAUACUUCACAAGAAGUUACCAACCUAAUUGAAUACAAGAAGGAUUCAAGUACAAAUUCAACUUGUGUGCUAAUUUUGGGAACAAACUGUUGAACCUGUGUGUUUUUUGAGAUAGGUUCAAAUUAGUUCUGUGCAAAUUUUUCUUUUAAAUGUGUGCGCUUUAAGACUACUUAACCCUUUAAAUUUGGGAGUCAGUAAGUGUACAUACAACUUUAAGACAGGGUAUUCAAUUUGUGUGGUGAAUUUGAACUGUGAUUUGAAGUACAAUUAUUUUGCUUCUUUUUCUAAAUUGAAGCAUUUUAUUUAAAAAAAAUUAUUUAUUUUUCUUCAGAUUUUGGACUAUGAUUAAUAUUUUGUUUUCUGCAGUGUAUCAUUUGCUGACACUCUUAAAAGAUUUGGAGUUAAAGCAGAAUCAAUUUUAUAUGAAGGGAAGACUCAUACAGAUGUGUUUCUACAGGUAAUUCACCACUUUGCAUUUCCCAUCUGAACUCACAUGAGCUUGAUCUUUAUUACUUAAAAUCAAAGGCUUGAUCGAUUUACUCAAUCAGUGUAUGAAGAUCAAAUGUAUUAUCUAACUGUAUCACUCACAUUACCUCUCUGAACUAUCUUAUUUUUCGCAUUUUCACUGCUGUCAAAAAUUUGUUAGUUAAUGUAGCAUACAGAUAAUGUUUCUCUUUAAGGGUGGUGUUUGAUAAUUUUUCUGGGAAAAAACUUCUCAUGGAUGAUCAACAUUAGUAACCAUAUAUUUCAAAUGCCUAUGCCUUUCAGGAUCCUAUGAGGGGUGGAGAUGAUGACAUGUUUGAUGAUUUAGUAGCAUAUAUUCAUGCUGGCGAUGCCGAGGCCCUUUCUAGAGAUGCAACAGCUCCUCCAAGGAAACGGCUUGUACCAGAAUUCAUGUUAAAAUUGGCUCAUACAGUCAGUCCUUUCUAGCCAACAAACGUAGUUGAUUUUAUUCAUUUUUGUUUUGUACAUAACCAUUAUUGUUGUGGCUUGCUAGAUUACUUAUCAACUUGGUAGGUUUAGAAGACUCUCCAUUAGUAUUUGAGGAUUCAACAUUUCACACUACUGUUAUUUCUGGAAACACCAAUAGGAACAUAGUCGUUAGGUAUAGUGAAUGAAAAGUUGUAACAACUUAGGUUUAGGAUUCUUCUGUAAGACUGUAACACUUAUCAUCUGUAUUUUGAUUUCAAUCUGUUCAACCUUGCUUCCAUUUGUUAAAAAUGUCCCAACAUAUUGUAAUGGUGAUUUUUUAUUUUGUUGAUCAAUUAUAUUAUGGUGAUAUUUGAUUCCACAUGAUCUAGUAAAGAGUUGUGGGAAUAUGUGACCAAUCCAUUUAUGUCAAAAACUUAGCUUGAAGUUUCUAAUGAAACUCUGAUUUUGUAUUUUUUAUUUUAAUUAUUAUAUUUAAAUUCAAAAUAUUUGAAGUUGUUUAGAUUUGAUUUGAUUUAAAAUUUGUAAAAAAAAAUUGAUUUAAAAUUUGAAUUAGGGUUAGAUCAAAUUUGAAAUUAAGAUUAAAUUCAAGUAUUUAAUUAGUUAAAUAAUGAUAAAUUUAUAAAUAAAAAAAGCGACGGGUUCAAGGUAAUUACGGGUUCAAGGUAAUUAUAAUAUGACCGACAUUGAACUGAUAAAAUUAUAAAUUAAUUUGGGGAAAAUUGCUCUAUAAAGAGCAAGGUAAUUAAAAUCUGAUUGGGCAUUGAACCCGUAGUUACGAAUUCAAGGUUCAAACGUUGAAUUGGGGUUCAGUCGGGGUUCGAUUGGUAAUAGAUAAAUGUAGGAUUUUUAUAAUAAGCAAAAAUAUUAUAUAUAUAUAUAUAUAUAUAUAUAUAUAUAUAUAUAUAUAUAUAUAUAGAUGACAUAUCAUAUGAGAAUGACUUUGUUAUAUGAAAAUGAUGAGAAUGAAUAUGAUCCAUUAGAUUAAAAAUUAAUGAUUGAGAUUAAACCUCACUUAAUGUACCAUUAUCAUGUGCCAUUUUCAUUCUCAUUCUACUUUCUCUCACCAAAUUCCUUUACUGUUCGUCUUCUCUUUCUCGGCCAUCUCUCUCCGGCGACCAACUCUCCUCCGGUGGCCAUCUCUCACGGCAGCAACUUCAUCUUCCCUCACCGGCGCCACCUUCCACCAUUGAUUCCUUUCAUUCAGCCUUUCACCAUUUACAUCAAGUCUUCUUCCUUCUAAAGCAGUUAUUUCUUCUUCCCCACACCAUCAAUGAACUUCUCCGACGACCCCAACCUCCCCGGCGCGAAGCCUGCCAUCACCACCUUCAACCAUCGGUUCGCGGUCGGAAACCCGCCGCCGCCACCUUCCUGCACAUCUUGGCUGUCGGAAACCCAUAAAAGAAAAAGAAACCACUGAUCAAUUUCACCCACUUAGUGUAACUCACCAAAUCUGUAUUUUAAAUUGGCCCCUUAAAAUUGCUUUAGCUUUUCUUUCACCAAAUUAAUUAAAAUUUUAUGCCAAUUUUGGAUUGAAAAAGGAACAAACAAUCAAUUACUCCCCGGUACAAAUUCUGCUAUAUGAUAAGGACAGUGUGACCGUGUUUCUGGUUUAUUGUCAAUUGAACAUAUUUACAAUAAAAAAGAUGAAGGCAAAGAAGCAUUAUUUCAGGUUUAUGCUCAAUUAAAAGAUUUGGAUCUCAUUGUUUAUGUUAAUGGUGGUGAAGAAUGAUGUCAACAUGAUGGCCGUGGGUGUACAGAUGAAAGUGGCAUUGUUGAAUGGUGGUGGGAAAAUGAACAAAGAAAUGAGUUAAUGAGAAUUGAUAGAAUAGGAUGAGACACAUGUGAAGUUUUUAAUUUAGACCAUUAAUUUUUGAUCUAAAGGUUGAUAAGUGUUCUCACCAUUCUCACAUAAUUAACUCAUUCUCACUAGAUAUGGUCUCUAUAUAUAUAUAUAUAUAUAUAUAUAUAUUUCACAUUAUUAUUAAACUUCACUUAAAAAUUUAAGAAAUUAUAUAAAAUAAAAAAACUUUAAUAACAAAUUUGAAUAAAAAUACUUAUUAAAAAGUACAUUAUAUCUUGUCAACAAAAAUAAGUAAAUUAUAUAUUAAUGAAUUAUUGUUAUUUAUUUAGUUUCUUAUUAUCCAUUUACUUCUACACAAUGGUAUCUACUUUUGUUAAAUGAGUUUUGCUUCCACUCACUAUUUGAAGAUAAAAAAAAUAAAAUAAAAAACUCACUAUUUUUUUAUUGCUUAAAUUUCUAAUACACAUGUAAAACUACUGUAUAGUAGUAGCAAUAAAAGAGUAAAAGAACUUACAUUACUAAUACACAUAUAAAACUACUGUAGCCUUGAUUUUCAAGUCAUGAUUGCUUAAAUAUAUAUUUUUCAUUACUCUGUCUUUUCGAAUUCAACGUUUCUUACAAUUUCAUUGACAAAAGCUUCUUAAAAAAAAUAUUAUUCACAAAAAUCAAUAUCUGGUCCCUUAAAAAUCCAAUUAAAACUAUUUUAAUAUGAAGAAGCCAAGCUCCUCAGGCUAGUUUCACACCUCAUAUCUAUAUCUAAGCAUAAAUAUUUUUCAUAAUUCUAGGAACAACUAUAAACUGAAUUAUUCUAAGAACCUAAAAAAUUAAAUAUUAAAUCAAACAUUAUGAUUCAUGUCCAGAACUGGAAUGACUGCCAUGAAAUGUGCAGCAUAUUCCCUGUUUGACCUCAAAAUCUUAAGGACAAUAGUUGCAUCCACAACUCUUCAAAAACCAAAAGAUAUGAAAUAUAAACCUCAGAUAAAUUGUGACAUUAAACUAAUUUAUCUCAAUUACCCCAGUUGAUAUUGGGUUGUAACAUUACUGAUUGGUGGUUUUUUAGCCUAGUGUCAUUUCUUGCCAAGAGCAACACCAUGCUUCUUGAUUAUCUCUUCUGCUUGCAGUGCAGAUCUCAGCCAUGGUCUGAAAGAAAAUAGUAAGAAUAAUGAGUUAAGUCAUCUAGUGUAAGACUCAACAUAUGAUGUUGUUAUGAGAAGCGUACCGUGUUCCUCAAGUUGUAUCCCAUAGUCAAUUCAACAAAGGAGCUUCCUAUGCGGGAUAAAUAACAGUACGGAAGAUCAUAUUUCAAUAAAACUGUUGCACUGGAUGUCAACAUGCCUGCUACUAUAUCUUCUAAUAUAAGGGCAAUCUUACUUAAAUCCUCACUUUGCAGAGGGAUUUUUGUAAGAAUUGCUUUAUAAGCAAAUGACUCAUUCACAACUACCUACAAAGUUAGCAUAGAAAAGAAAGUUGUAAGUUGUCAAAAGAUUUGUAAGAAUUGCUGAAAACUGAAAUCUAUAACAGAUGCAUUUUAAUCAAAGAUUCAAACAUACUAGCCAAAGCAAGUCUCAGUUAUGUGCUACACUGCUGCAAGUCAAAACAGAGAUUUUCCUUAGGAUUGGUAUGGGGAGUCGAGAUCGUAAAAUGUGAGAAUAUGACACUGAUCUUAAAUUAGAUUAAAACUUCUAAAUUGAACCAAUCAUCACUUCUAAAUUAACAAACUUUGUUUAUGUCUUGAUGCAAUGAAUUUUGGGAGAACAUGUGUUUCAAAUUACACAUCAAAUAUAUAAAAAAAAAAAUGAGGGGCAAAUAUUCGAAUUCGAUGAACACGAUCAACCUAUUUAACAAUAUCAAUAUUGUCAAUUGAGUUAAGCCUUGCCCGUUACUGUAAAAACUUGAAAGUAUUGUUAUAUACUUCAUGUGCAACCAUUAAAAAAGAAAAAAAAAAUGGAAAAUGUUACAUGAACACCCUUUAUUUCUACACCCCAUUGUACACCCCAUGUAUUAGGGAUAUUUUGAUAAGUUCAUCUCACAACCACACUUUAUCUUCUAUUUGUGCGGGGUCCAAGUUGCCACGUGUCAGAAUUUUGUGUGGGUGUAAAGGGUGUAUUGCCACAUGGGGUGGUACAUGUAUCAUUAUUCAAAAAAAAUUAAGCAAACUUUGUGCAAUGCAAAACCACACGUGUACUAGUCUUAUAGCUCAAGCAUGCUUAGUGGAACAAAUUAUGAGGUAGUCUAAGUGCAUCAAAAUUUUGUCUGCCCAACUUUUUCUAUGUUCACACUAUAUUUUUCAGCUCACCUACUUCUUUGCUAUGUCGAUAGAAUAAGAUAUGCUUCAACCUGAAGAAGAAAGCAUAAGGUCUCUCUCCUAAAACUGUGAGAAAGAGUUUAUUUAUAAACUUCUCUUCUCAAAUUUAUUUCUCAAAUUUAUUUAUAUACACAUUCAUCGUAAAAAAAUUACAUUCUAAAUCAAUUAUAACCGUUAAAUCAUUAUAAACGUUUGACUUUUAUCAUAACCACUUCUAAAGUCAUACAUAUUUUAAUAUAGAUGGUGCAUGAAAAUAUAAAGCUCCUUCUUAAACUCGUUCCGGGGUUUCAACUCAACUACUUGAACAUGAGACUAUUUAUAGUUUAUCUGAAUUUAACACACAAAUGUAAAUAACUAUUAUGUUCAAAAAUAAUCUUUAAUACGAAAUGUCAAAUGUUACAUAUACAACAAAAACACUUAUCUAUCUAAUAGAGACUUAUUCAGCAAGUACUUAAGUUAUUGAAAUGUUGUAUCCAUAUUUUUGAUACUGGCACACUAAGGUAUACACAUUUUGUUCUAUCCAAGGAACAUGCCUAUCAAAGGCUACUCAAGGGAUACUCUUUGUGAACCUUCUACCAUAAACAUUAUCAUUGUAGAUUGAAUAUCAUAAUGUCACAACCACCCCACUAGGGCUAAUAUCAUAUUCAUGAGUCAUGCCCCUUUUUCACUUUACUACUACUAUAUAACUAUGGAACUUGCUCCUUCUAAUUCAAUGUGCCAUAUACAAACUAGUCAGUGAUUCAAACACAUAUAUUAUGAGAUUUUCAAAACCAAUAGUGAUGGAGUUCAAGGUUAGAACUUUCCUUGCAACAGUAGUGAUGUUUCUGUUGGCAUCAAGUGUGUUCAUUUUGGAAAGUGAAGCAGGUGGAGAAUGUGGAAGGACACCAAUUGGGUCAGCAGCUGCUAGUCUAAGUCCAUGUUUGGGUGCUGUACGUAAUGUUAGGGCAAAAGUUCCACCAGUUUGUUGUGCUAGAGUUGGUGCUUUGCUUAGAACUUCUCCAAGAUGUCUUUGUUCAGUUCUUUUGUCACCUCUUGCAAAACAAGCUAAGAUUAAUCCUGCUAUUGCUAUCACUGUUCCUAAGAGAUGCAACAUUAGGAACCGACCUGCUGGAAAGAAAUGAGGAAGUAAGUAACAAUUAAUCAUUAAUAGCUUGUUGAACUUAAAUAAUAUUUAAUAAUCAUAUUAUAUUUAGUGUGUUUGAUUACGCGUUUACACAUUCCUUAAUGUGCGUUCAAUAUGAAGCUUAGCUACUACUAGUUGUAACUUGUGCCGUGAGCAGCCUUGGAAUGUGAAAAUGGCGAACUCAUCGUAGUUCCAAAGAGACACUUCGUACAUUUUUUAGUGCACACUUGAAAUAGUAAGACGCAAGGUCAAAGUAAAGCCGAUAGUUGCAACUUGCAGCGUCGACAUUGCAAAUUUACCUUAGUUCUGAAAACACUUUAACCUUUCAUUGAUUCAUAUUUUUGGUAGACUAGAAUUGAGAAUUUGUAAAACUAAAAUAGGAAACAUAUUUACACUUUAACCUUGUUUUUUUUCCUUCUUUACAGGGUACACACUUCCUUGAAACCUAAGCAGGAAAAUAAUACAAUACAUGUGAUAUGCAGUAUUUAACAGAUUAGAGAGCUAAAUAAAUUAUGUAACAUGGCAUUUUCUACUUGGAGAGUGGCAUGUGUCAGCCUGUAGCAUUUUGUAUUACUCAGUGUAUUGUUUAUUACAGAAGCAAGCAAAUACAAAAGAAACUGAAGACAUUACUUAAAGCACAAGUUACAU